ensembl:lncRNA
AUGCAAAAGCCUUGCCUCCCGGUUGUAACAACACAAUCACACCACAAAACCACACUGGAGCCACAAAACUCACAACAACGCAUCAUGACUAUAACAACACAAAACCACAAUCUGGACCCACAAAACUCACAACAACGCAUUGUGACUAUAACAAAUACAAAAUUUGACAACACAACUCAUCCACCUCCCCAAUCCCUACAUUCACACUUGGCCUCCAAAAAAACAAUUACAAUAAUAACAAUGACAACAACAACAACAAUAAGAAUCAACACCAUCACAGGCAAGAAACAGCCAGGCACUGAGGCUGAGAGGCCAGUCAGUGCUACACUGGGCCUCCAAAAAACAAUACAGUAGCAUCUAACUUAUCCAACCUUCAUGACCACUACAACAACAAUAAUAAUAAACAGCUACACAGGCAAAACAAAAAAAAGACUAUUGUACCACAAUAAAAAUAUAAACCGCACUCAGCAGAAUCAGACAUUACAACUAACAACAAACCAAAGACAACAGGGAUCUCAAGCAAUUAUCAAUCAACACAAAAACUGAAGAAGGUAACAGACUUCAAAUACUACUACUAAUGUGAGUAUAAAGAAGGGUGGAGGUCACAGCAUAAAUACAACCUAAUGUAGACUGACCAACACCACCAGACUAAGCCACAGCACAGUGUGUGUGUGUGUGUGUGUGUGUGUGUGUGUGUGUGUGUGUAUAUAUAUAUAUAUAUAUAUGAUGUGUUGUUAAUUAGUACCCUCUAAAUCUACUGCUCACCAGUCUCUUGUGCUUGUAUAUUCUAUUUACAUUCUAUCUAAUCAUCAAGGUCAAAUACGAAUGGGUAAAAGAGCCCUGAAUUUUUGAACAAGCUAUAGAAACGAGAAAGAAACUCACACUAAAGAUUUUUGUUAUUUUUGAAAGGAACUCACUUAAUCAAAACUACUAUUUCAAAGUACCAAUCAACAUAAGUGUAAAAAUUAGAAUUGACUGAUGGAAUAGUUUGUUUCUCAAAAAAAACUCUGAUUCAAAUCAUUAUCGUUAUUACUUGAAUAGAAGGGGCUCUUCUGUUUCAUGAAAGAUGAUUCAAUUCUCAAGUUGUUUUUUUUCUACUGUCUUUUAAAACUAACGGUUUUACAAGAGUUAUUUGGCAGGAUUCCCACUACACUUCAGAGGAUGUGUCGAUUAACUAAUUAGCAGGGUAUUGUGAUAUGAGCUGUCUCUGGCUGCCGAGUUAGAUUUAGCUGAAGAUGGCUAAUCAAAUCCACUUACAAAUUGCCUAAGCAGCACAAUGUAGAACAAGGAAGGCAUAUGGACUCAGAUAUAAUCAAAAGAGUUUCAUUUGCCUAUUGUUGUUGUUAUUAUUAUCAUCAUCAUCUUCAUCAAGAUUCAUCUGUCUUUCCUACUGACUAUUCUGAAAUGAUUAACUGACACAGUUUAUUAAAGUCAUGAGCCAGAAGUGAUGGGCACAGCAAAAUCACAAGGAAUCUAUUUUUCUCUGUUUCUCACAAAAACCAGUAACAAUUUAUUUUUCAGUGAAGAGAUAGACAAGAUACUGACAUGGUAUCAUUUCCACUGCUUUCUUCUGUGGCUACCACCUACAUAAAAGGGAAAUAAACUUUUUCUGACUCUGAGGCUAAUAGCCUCCAAGUGAUUCAUUCUAUCUGAGUUACACCAAAGUCAUUACACUUUUAAAAUCAAUAACCGAAAGAUUUACAAGAAGAGAUGAAAAGAUCUAUUUACAUUAUAGAAAAUAUCUACUGAUGGUCAGGGUUUUUAAAAUUACCUUCAUAAAGUCAAUCCAAGGUGCUCAUGAUCCUUGAAAUGUUUUCGAUUGAUUUCUGCUCUCUCUCAGAUAUCCCUAGUCAAGCAAUUUCACCACUUGCACAAGCCUCAAUUUUUAAAUUGCUGGUUUCUCCUACACCUCCCACCCUGACUGCUACUGGCUUACCACUAGUAUUUUUCCAGCAGUUACAAGUUCUACAUCAUUCCUUUUUUCAGCAAUCCCACCCAAAUAACCAACUGAUAUGGUAAAUGGGUUGAAAUGUAAGGUACAAUUAAUGAUCAGACUAAGUGAAUAGAAGAUCCUGCCCCUUCCAUGAUAUUACAUUUUUGUUGAUUAGACCAAAGCCAUUUUCUCCUAAAGGUUCAGCCAGCUAUUAGAACCAAUGCAGUGAUUACUGCAUAGUAAUACGCAAGCAGUAGCUAUUCCACAGAAAACUAUAACAGUACAGGUUCCUCAUAAUGGUAGUUAUAUAUGAGUAUUUAACAGACAAUAAGAUAUUAGCACCAUAUUUUAUUCCCAACGUCACACAAAGAUUCUAUGGCCAACAAAAAACUGAGUUGAGAUUGUAUGUCCUCAAAUAUUUCUUAGAAUCAUAGAAUCAUAGAAUAGUAGAGUUGGAAGAGACCUCAUGGGCCAUCCAGUCCAACCCCCUGCCAAGAAGCAGGAAACCACAUUCAUAGCACCCCCGACAGAUGGCCAUCCAGCCUCUGUUUAAAAGCCUCCAAAGAAGGAGCCUCCACCACAGUCCGGGGGAGAGAGUUCCACUGCCGAAGAGCUCUCACUGUGAGGAAGUUCUUCCUGAUGUUCAGGUGGAAUCUCCUUUCCUGUAGUUUGAAGCCAUUGUUCCGUGUCCUAGUCUGCAGGGCAGCAGAAAACAAGCUUGUUCCCUCCUCCCUAUGACUUCCCCUCACAUAUUUGUACAUGGCUAUCAUGUCUCCUCUCAGCCUUCUCUUCUUAAUUACUUCAUCAUAUUGAAACUCACUAGACUGAUGAAACUUCUACUAGUUUUUAGUGUUCCAUCAAGAACCUGCUGAUUGCUAAGAUUGCUAAGAUCCUUUAAAAGAAAUCUACUAUAAGAAGAGAUUGGAAUGAUCCAGAAGAGGAUCAUUUAAUAGAUGCCCCCCCUGCCAUCUCCCUCCCAAAAUAUGGGAGAUUUUAACAGGUACACUGUUGUCAUGAAACCAACAAAGUCUUGGCUACCCUAAAAGCUAACAUUUAUUAUUGCAUAAGCUUUUGUGUUUAUUUUCAAGGUGGCACCACAUUGUUUUCAAUAUACAUUGGUUAUGCCUUGAUUGGGAAAAGAUUCUGAAUAAGCAUCCUUGCUUUGUUACAAUAUGUAUCAAUGGAUCUUAAGGAAUAUGUUGGUUACCCAGUGUUAUGCUAUCCAUGUUAAACUCCUUCAUCCAUGUCAUUUGUUUCUGCAUCCAUCCAACUAUUCAUUGCAAGAUACAUGUAUCUUUCGUUGCAAAUAAUUCUUUUUCCCAUUGACAUAUGCUCCAAUAUUUCACUGAUGAGAAUCAGGACACAUUCACAUGUGUUCUGACAGGAAGUUUAGAUUAUGGUUAAAAUGGCAAAAGUUAUUACUAUAGAAGAACACAGAAACUAAAGGUGAGUCUACUUAGGCAUAAAACCCAGACUCACCCUUAAUUGACUUCUUCUGUAGAUUAUGCUGUGUUAAACCAGC